AUAGAGUUCGAAAUGAAACGUGAUAGUUAGUGCGCAGUAUUUUUCAAAUAUAAAUAUUUUCACGUUUUACGCAAAUCAUGUGGAUAUAUCGUAUUAAAAAAUUUUUCGAAUGUUAGAGCUUCCAAUUAUAAUUUUCUUUAUCCUGAUGACUUUUCUGAGUUCUGACGAGGAACAUGAAAUUUUCAGUAAAAUCGAAGAGAAAUAAUUUAACAAUCGGCCGGCCGCAGUUGUACUACGAACAUGUCAACAACUUUUAUACACAGGCUCCGUCCUUUUGUACGAAGAUUCCAAGAAAAACCGAUAUACCAACGCGAUAAUCACUUUCGUCACUCGUCGCCAUUCUAGUUUCCAGUCAACUUCCAACCUGUUCGCAUCCUCCAUCGAUACUUUUUCCCGUGUCGCGUGGCGGCGACUCAUCGACAGAAUCAUGAUGAUAAAGUAGCGCGAUAAGAUAAAUAAAACGGGAAAGUAUAAAUGUAAAUAACCACCGAUUCGAACGGAGGAGCCGCAACGUCGCUGAUUGCGAGUGAAUUUUGUAAUUACAAAUAUUUGGCGAAUAUUUGGCGAGAGCAAUAAAUCGUACGUUCAGCACUCGUCUCCUAAUGUCAAACGCGUCUGCUGAGCCAGACGCGCGCUGCUAGACACCUGACGUGAAAAGGGUGACGAGGAGAGAAGGCCGUGUUGAAGGGAAUCGUGGUGGAGGCGGAGGCCGAGGAGAUGAGGGGAGUGUGGUGUAUAAUCAGACUCAAGGGCGUCUGGACCGAAAGCGAGAUUCGAGAGAGGAAAGUGCAUCAGUGCCAGGCCAAGCGUUCCAUGAUUCCGCUUUGCCCCGAAGGUGCUCAACUCUCGCUUUCGGAUACAUCUGGAUGUACUAGUAAUUUAUAUACAUCUGUUUUCAAUGAUCCCCUCGCGUUUAACGAAUACCGAUAUUGAAUUAUCAAGUUGAGGGUGCAAGUUGAGAAAUGAAAAUUGUUAUUAUGUAAAAUUAUACUUCAAUAAUUACUAAUAUUGGUAAAGAGACGCUUAACCGUUUCGUUCGAUUCGAGGAAUUUGGGAAAAUAUGAAGAUUUAGGAAAACGAAAGAAGAAAAAUUAAAACCUAUACGAAAUUAACUUUAUUUAUCCUAGUCGUGUUUCUUUUUCCAUCAUGAAGUCGUGUAACGUAUUUUGGCACUUCAACAAAUAUCAAUAGGAAAGAAAACACUUCACGAUGGUUUCGUUAAUUCGCAAUAGUAGUUCCAUUUGGAGGGAGAGGUCAGAAUCGAAAACAAAGAGGCAGAUCAGUGCGGGAACGAAAUUUAAAAGUCUAAAUCGGCGGAGGGUCUUUGCGUUUUAUCAUGCACUCCGGGGACCAAUCGGUUUCUCUCGCAUUCGCGAGUUGGCGAAGCGUGAACAAACGAAUUUUCAAGUUGCUGGCCUACAAUACGAAAUAUUGAUUGUAACAAAUACGAAAUACGCCGCAAUGCAGCACCGUGGUGGCUAAACACACAGCCAGUUGCCAUGGAACAAUUAGGUGGCAUCGCGACGCAAUAAAGAGAGGAUUCCUCGUGAAAAAUUGCUUCACUCUCCUUGUGCUCGAAUUAACGAGUUACGAUAAAUUCGAGAUGAUUAUUUUACUUGAUAUUGUUGUUUAGAAUCAUUCAUCU